AAAUGUUUUCAGACAAAUAAUUAGCUAUACGAACAAAACACACCAAAACAAGUAAAUGAAUAGAAGAGAAGUAAAAACAGUAUAUCUCUUUUUAAUAGUUUGACGAGAGUCGUUAUUCCCAGUCAUCAUCGUCUUCAUCAUCGUCAUCAACUUUUCUAUUUGCUUCAUCCUUCACCUCAAGAGAACUUUGAGAAGCUUCUAUAUUACUGGAAGAUGAUACUUUAUUUUCCUCUUCUUCUUUAACUUCUCCAUCAACCUCUCCAUCAUGGCUUGCGGGUUGAGUUUCAAUUUGUAAGCCUUUUGAAACUGCUGACUCCAAAUCAUUGACGGUUUCAUCUAUCACUUCAGCUGCUGAAUUAUUCUCAGUAGUAUCUUCUUCACUUGAUUGCUUUUUUUCAUCAUUAACCUGUUCAUUGUCACUUUCUUCUUCAUCACUUCUUUCAUCUCCCCAACUAAAAAUUUCUUCUUCAUCGUUUCCUGAUUGAAUUGCCUUUAUCGGCUGUACAACCUCUUUAUGCCAAAAAAAUCGUUUCCAAAAAUCAUCAUAAGAAACUUCAGAAGGUACUAAAGAUUCCAUCUGUUUCCUUAAAUCAGGAUAUUCUUCCAAAAGUAAAGAGAUCUCUUCAGUUUUCCCAUCAAUGGAAAUUUCUUUUUCCCAGCUUUCAAACGUGAUCCCAUGAGAGGGUUCAGAGAUAAUUUGGGUAAAAGUAUUUUCGUUUUGAACAAGUUCCAACAACUGUCUCUCGUGGCGAUUUAAGAAAACAGACGAAGAGGCUUCGUGUGUAGGAGUCGAUACAUCGUCUUCUUUGGGUGAUAUCUGCAAUGCUUGAUCCAAAAAACCAUUCACUGUAGAUCCGAAGCCACUCCAGAAACUUCCUGCUGUUUCUUCUACUUUUCGCAAGUUUUCCAUAGCAGAAUUAACAGGUAUAUUUUCUUCAAGCUGUGAUUUUAAUUGCUGCAUUCCACUUGAGGCUUUUCCCUUUGUAUCAUCAAGAAAGUUUUCACUCUUUGAACGGUUAGUAACAAUGCCAUUAUUCGCAAUCAACACACCUUUUCUUUCAUUGAGUUCCAAAACAAACCAAACUUUCCAUUCGUCAGAUUCUGUAUAAAAUGUCAGUAAAUUCCGCGCCGUAAAUCAUCAUAAAGGAUAAAUUACAUUUAGAGCCGAACCCAUUUCUUCUUUCAGUUUUUCGUAUCCCUCUUCAUCAUCUUCUUCUGUAGUGGUUGUAGGUGCCAUAUAAUCGUACAAAUCCAUUUUGAAUAGUUUAAAAGAAAACUUAUGUACUUAGUUGUUAGAAUAAGCUCACAUGUGUUUGGUAGCAAACAAGCUAUAUAUGUUGUACUUGGCAGCAAGUGAAGAUAUUGUAUAGCCUACCGAAUAGUGACACGAUUAUGCUCGUAUUCUGACUAUGGACACUUAUACUAACUUAGUAUACUUCCAAUAAUACUUUUUAAUGAAAAAGGCAUUACACAAUCCA